GGAGUUUUUUUUUCCUCUUUCUAGAUUGUACCCUAUGUCUUUGUGCAUCAUUUUUUGGACCCCCUUCUCUUCUUGAAACUCUUCCCUGUUUAACUCUGGUUUCUAGGAGGCAGGGUAGGGGACAGAGGUCCUUGUGAUGUCAUUCACCAAUGCUUCUAUACUGGGAGAUGCCUCCAAAUAUCAUUACUUUCUUCCAGCUCUACUAAAUGCAUGGAAGGUAUUUAGGGAGACCCUUCUGAGCUAUAGCCAA
rnacentral:sRNA from 1 species